UACGAAGGGGGCUAGCGUUGCUCGGAAUCACUGGGCGUAAAGGGUGCGUAGGCGGGUCUUUUAAGUCAGGGGGUGAAAUCCUGGAGCUCAACUCCAGAACUGCCUUUGAUACUGAAGAUCUUGAGUUCGGGAGAGGUGAGUGGAACUGCGAGUGUAGAGGUGAAAUUCGUAGAUAUUCGCAAGAACACCAGUGGCGAAGGCGGCUCACUGGCCCGAUACUGACGCUGAGGCACGAAAGCGUG
rnacentral:rRNA from 1 species